rnacentral:hammerhead_ribozyme from 1 species
ACACUGCUGAGGAAUCUAAUAAUAGGACGAAACGACCGUCCAGUGC